rnacentral:lncRNA from 1 species
CAGUCAUUCAUGUCGACUGAUAAAAUUGGUUUUCAUCAUCGUCCGGGAGGUCGUUUGACAACAUGAUGUCUAACAACCUCCACCUUGGUGUCAAAGGACCUGCAAAGAAAAACGUUUUUCCAUUAGUGACACCUCUAACAGAAAAACCGAUAAAAUUGAAAUCAUUUACCUGUACCGAUAUUUAGAAGCUCUUUGCAACUUCUAAACUUUACCAGUGGCAGCACUUUCGUGCCCAUAUCUGAAGGAUUAUACUGUGUGAAUUUUUUCAAGUCUUACUACUUCUUGUGAUAUUAUAUCCCUAAUGAAGUGUAACCUAACAUCAAUAUGUUUAGUGCGUUCAUGAAAAACAGGAUUCUUACAUAGAUGUAUGGAUGACUGACUAUCAGAAUACACAACCACAUACUCAUUCAAGACACUCAGUUCAUGAAGUAGACCUCUAAGUCAUAGAGCCUCUUUAAUUGCUUCAGUGAUGGCAAUAUAUUCUGACUCUGUAGUGGAUAGUGCAACUAUGUGUUGUAACUGUGAUUUCCAACUAACACACGAAUUUGAUAAGGUGAAUACGUAAGAGGAAGUUGAUUUCCUACCAUCCCUAUCUCCUGCAUAGUCAGCAUCUACAAAACCCUUUAAUUUUACGCCUUCUUUAUUAGCACUAAAUUUUAGACCUACGUCACUUGUACCCUUCAAAUAUCUUAAAAGCCACUUUAAUGCUUCCCAAUGUUCAGGACCUGGAUUAGACAUGUACCUACUGAGAGUACUAAUAGCGAAUCCUAAGUCCGGUCUAGUGCAAACCAUCAAAUACAUUAUGGAACCAAUCACAUUUGAGUAUGGAAUUUUACUCAUGUAUUCCACUUCACGUUCAUUGUAGGGAGCUUGUUCUUUAGAUAGAACAAAAUAGUUUGCAAGAGGCAACGUGACAGGUUUGCAGUCACUCAUAUUAAACUUUUUCAACACCUUUGAUAUGUAUGGAGACUGAUGCAAGAAUACGAUGGAAGUUGACCUAUUUCAUUCUAUUUCCAUGCCUAGAAUCCUUUUAGCCUUUCCUAGGUCUUUCAUGUCAAAUUCUCCACUAAGAUCUGCUUUUAUAUUGUUUAUCCACUUAGGAGAUGAUCCAACUAAAAGCAUGUCUUCCACAUAGAGCAACAAAAACAAAUAAUUGUUAUCAGUCUCGUUGUGUUGAAAGUACAGGCAGUGAUUGAAUUUACUUCUUUGAAAUCCUAUAGUGAGUACAAAGGAGUCAAACCUCUUGUACCACUGUCUAGGUGAUUGCUUUAGACCGCAUAGGGCUCUUUUCAGAAAAUACACAUAAUCAGGUUUUAACUUGUCUUUAAAACCUUUUGGUUGAUUCAUAAAGAUUUGUUCAUCAAGCUCUCCAUGUAAAAAAAUGAUUUUUACAUCUAGUUGUUCAAGUUCCCAGUCAAAGAGCGCAACCAAUGCGAGCAUGACACUAAUAGUAGUGUACUUGACAACUGGUGAGAAAAUCUCGUUAUAAUCAACACCUUCUUUCUGUGUGUAACCCUUUGCUACUAACCUAGCCUUAAAUCUUAAGGGUUCUGUACUACUAGUACCUUCCUUAACCUUAAAGACCCACUUGCAAUCAACGAUUGAUUUAUUCUUAGGUCUCAGUACUAACUCCCAAGUUUGAUUCUUUUCUAGAGAACUCAUCUCUUCUUUCAUAGCCUCAAGCCAUUCCUUAGAUUGACCAAUAUUCAUAGCCUCUUCAAAAAUUUCUGGCUCCCUAUCAACUAGUUCUUCGUAACUAGCGUAUGCAAAAUCCAAUUCAGAUUCAUACCCAAACCUCCUAGGUUCUCUCGUUUGCCUUCUCUCUCUAUUUCUAACUAAGUUAUCGUUAGCUAAUGGAUUUUCUUCCUCAGGAUGCUCUUCUAUCACUACUUCAUUUUCUUCUUCAGGUUCUUGGACCUGAAUCUCCACCUCACUUGAAGUACUAGGUACUGAUGUGUUAAAUUUUCCUAACUCCACCUUAAACCGAUUUCUUUCUUCACUUGAUUCAGUUUCACUUAUAGGUUCGGUUUCGUUCUUUAGACAAGGCAUCUCAUUCUCAUUAAAUGUGAUAUCCCUGCUCACGAUGAUCUUAACUCCUUUUUGGCUUCUAUCCCAUAGCCUAUAGCCCUUAACCCCUUCGGGAUAUCCUAGAAAGACACAAUUCCUGGCUCUAGGUUCUAACUUUUCCUCACUUUGAUGAGAAAAGGCAGCACAGCCAAACGCUUUAAGCAUUGAGUAGUCACCCAAUUUUCCAGACCAUUUCUCAUGUGGAGUAUCACCAUUUAAUGCAGCCGAUGGAGUCAAAUUUAUUAGAUAACAGGCAGUGACAACGGCUUCACCCCAAAAUGACUUAGGAACCCCAGAACUUAACAUCAUGCAGCGCACUUUGUCUAGUAUGGUCCUAUUCAUUCUUUCUGAUACCCCGUUUUACUGGGGAGUAUAAGGAACCGUUUUGUGCCUUAUUAUUCCACUUUCUUUACGCAUCCUAUCGAAUUUAGCAUUACAAAAUUCUAGGCCGUUAUCUGUCCUUAAAAAUUUGAUCCUCUUGCUAGUUUGGUUUUCCAUUUGUUUCUUCCAAUUGUUAAAGUUAUGGAAGAUUUCAAUUUUGUCUUUCAAUAGAUAGACCCACACUUUCCUGGUGUAGUCAUCUAUGAUAGAUAGGAAAUACCUAUUCCCACCCGAUGUGAGAUUACUAGCAGAACCCCACAAAUCAAAAUGCACUAUUAUUCAAGCAUGCUUUUAGCGUUAUGCGUACUGGUGGAAAACGACACUCUAUGGUGCUUUCCAAGCACACAAUGAUCACAGAACGAUAGGUCAGACACACAGUCAUUACCAAAUGCACCUUUUUCAUUAAAUAGCUUAAGUCCUUUAAUGCUUACGUGUGCAAGCCUACUAUGCCACGUAUGUGUGUGAUCGAUUUUGGCGGAAGAGAUAGAGGAGUUUAAUCCUCUAAUCACUUCCCCAGUAGUGAUGUAAAUGUCGUUUUUCUUGAUUCCCUUAAUAGAGAUUAACGCACCCUUCAUCAUUUUAAACAUACCGUUUUCAAUUUUACCGGUGAAGUUGUCUUUCUCAAGUCUUCCUUCUGAAAUCAAAUUCCUAGAUAAUUUCGGAAUGUAUCUAACUUCCUUUAACACGUACACAAAGCCUGUGUUAAAUUUUAUCUUUAUGUCUCCAAUUCCAGCAAUUGUAUAGGCUAAGUUAUCACACAAAACUACUUGUCCAUCAUUAGAUUCUUGCAAGUUUUCAAAUCAGUUCUUUUCAGAUGUCACAUGAAAAGACGCACCAGAAUCUAAUAUCCAUUCAUGAAUGUGAGAAUUAGUAGUUAGAUUUAAUUCAGUAGUGUAUGCGAAUGGACUAGUGAUCACAUAGACUUCACCGUUUUUGGUAUCGGAGGUAGAGGAUAACACAUUUACCUCAUCCCUUUCCUUAACCUUCUGUUUUCCCUUUUCUUUAUGACAGUCUUUUAUAAAAUGCCCUGUGCCUCCACAGCCAUAGCAUUUUCUACCCUUAGUUCUAGACUUUGAUCUAGGUCUACCAUUCCCCUUCUUUUUCCAACUAUUACUACUUGAUUCGCCACUACUUUGGUAUCCAUCAUGACUAGCUUGCCUAAAUUGUGUUCUACCCUGCAUCAUAUGUAACUCUCCACUCCUCCUAUCCUGUUUUUCAGCCCUCAUUUCCAUUUCCUUACUCCUAAGAGAAUCUACGACAAUUUCAGGUGUUAACGUGUCCCUACCAUACUUAAUGGCAUUUUUAACUUCUUUAUAAGAGUCCGGGAUUGAAUUGAGCAAGAUAAUGGCCUUAUAGGUUUCAGACACGACUUCGUCGCAAUUGACAAUAUCUUGCACUAAUUUGUUAAAUACAUCUAAAUUGUCGUCGAGAUCCUUUGAAGGAUCCAUUUUAAAGCUGAAGAAUCGUUCGAGUAGGUAGAGUUUAUUCGGUGUAGAUUUAAGCAAGUAUAAGUCUUCUAGUCUUCUCCAAAGUUCUUUGGUGGUUUUUAGUUUUCCCACUUUUCUUAAGACAGCGUCAGAAAAGUAUAAUAUUAUUGAGGUAUAGGUAAGCUCAUCGGCUUCCUCUUUUUGUUCUUUUGAGAUAUCAGGUGCAAAAUUGCCUUCGAUGGCUUUUGACACCUUUUGUUGGACUAGUAUGCCUCUCAUCUUUUGUUGCCAGAUAGAGAAGUCCCCUUUACCAUUAAAAAUUCCCAAAUCAAAAUUAUGUGUUGUCAUUGUUAAAACGCUAAUUAAAUCACACGAAGUAGUAUUGGGAAGCGUGAUAAGGUAAUAUCUUAUUAAUUCUCAGCAAAAGUAACAGUGAACCUAAACGCUACGUCCACCAAGAAAUACCAAGCACUUUAAAUCAAAAGAACAAACACUCAAUUAAUGCAAGUAAUCCUAGUUCUAGCACAAGCAAUGGUUACCCCUUCACGGUAACCCCAAAACCUAAUGAUCACCCCACACGAUGAUCUUGAUAUUGCUGAAUUUAAAUGGAUUAAGCCAAUUUACCAGAGCAGACCUAUCUGAGUCCGUAGAGUGGAGAAAAACGAGCUUGCUGUUGAAUUUCAGUCGGCGUCGUACCAAAGGGCAAAAUCGUCCAACUUUUUCUGUGUAACCUGAAACACAAAACAAAGUAUAUCAGCGCGUUCAGGAGAUCGAAACAAGCAAGUUACCUGAAGACAGCGUCACCGGAC